UCUCAAACCAUGAUCUUCUUGUCUCUCUGGUUGUUGCUGCUGCUGGCAGCUGUUUCUCGUGUCCACUGUGUUGAACUGACACAGACUGAAUCUAUGGUCUUAAGUCCUGGUCAGGUUUUGACACUGUCCUGUAAAAUCUCUGGAUAUUCAGUGACUGACAGCAACUACUGCACUCACUUCAUUCGGCAGCCUGCAGGAAAAGCUCUGGAAUGGGUUGGAGAGAUGUGUGGUGAUGGUAGCACAUAUUACAGUGAUAAACUGAAAAGUAGAUUUCAAGUUGCCAGAGAGUCUUCCAGCAACACAGUGACUCUUCAAGGACAGAAUAUGCAGACUGAGGACACAGCUGUGUAUUACUGCGCCAGAGAGAGAGCACACAGUAUUGAUUCAUAUGAACUCACUCAGCCUGAGUCUCUGAUUGUCCGUCCUGAUGCCACUCUCACUAUCAACUGUAAAGUCUCUUAUUCAGUUACUGACUAUGCUACAGCCUGGAUUCGUCAGCCUGCAGGAAAAGCUCUGGAGUGGAUUGGAGUGAUCUACUAUGACGGAGAUUUAUACUACAAGGAUUCGCUGAAAAGCAAGUUCAGUAUCACCAGAGACACGUCCAGUAACACAAUAACACUGCAAGGAAAGAAUAUGUGA